GACGAACGCUGGCGGCGUGCUUAACACAUGCAAGUCGAGCGGAAAGGCCACUUCGGUGGUACUCGAGCGGCGAACGGGUGAGUAACACGUGAGUAAUCUGCCCCUGGCUUUGGGAUAGCCACCGGAAACGGUGAUUAAUACCGGAUAUGACACAUUCUCGCAUGAGUUUGUGUGGAAAGUUUUUCGGCCAGGGAUGUGCUCGCGGCCUAUCAGCUUGAUGGUGAGGUAAUGGCUCACCAUGGCUUCGACGGGUAGCCGGCCUGAGAGGGUGACCGGUCACACUGGGACUGAGACACGGCCCAGACUCCUACGGGAGGCAGCAGUGGGGAAUAUUGGACAAUGGGCGGAAGCCUGAUCCAGCAACGCCGCGUGAGGGAUGACGGCCCUCGGGUUGUAAACCUCUUUCAGUACCGACGAAGCGCAAGUGACGGUAGGUACAGAAGAAGCACCGGCCAACUACGUG
rnacentral:rRNA from 1 species